rnacentral:lncRNA from 1 species
CAAGAGGUGGAGGUUGCAGUGAACCAAGAUUGCUCCACUGCACUCCAGCCCAGGCAAGACAGCGAGACUCCAAAAACAAAAACAAAAACAAAAAAAAAAACAAGAGGAAAGAGUAAUAGGGACCUAUGCUGCGUGUCCUUUAUUGAUUUGCUCCUCUAGAUCCACUCUCUUUUUUUUUUUUGAGACAGAUUCUCACUCUGUCACCCAAGCUGGAGUGCGGUGCCUCGAUCUCAGCUCACUACAACCUCC